ensembl:lncRNA
CCGAGUUCGAUCCCCAGUACCAAAAAAAAAAAAAAGAAUAUUGUACAAUUACGAAAAUGAAGACAUUUCUGGAUGAAUCUCAUCUCAUAAUAUUGAGUAAAAACUUUAAGAACAUAGGAAUGCCUGCAAUAUGGUUCCAAGACAAUGCGCAAAUCCGAAAGGUGAAUUCUUAGUGAACUGAACUACCUAAUGAGACCUUGUCUCAGUAAAGAGAGAGCACCCCUGUCAGCCAACCCAGUCGACCCCCAACUGCCCGAUGACAGCCAUGUUCUGAUUCCCAUCAGCCAUCGAUCAGUUUUGUCUUUCCUGGAACCUCAGCAUGUCCAGGACACUGUCCGG